GGAGAAAGCCAGACGAUCGCAGACUGAGGGCUAAAGCCCCUGGAUGAGGAAAGUCCGGGCUCCACAGGGUCAGGAUGCCGGCUAGUUACCGGUAAAGGCGACUUUAAGGAUAGUGCAACAGAAAUAAACCGCUGCGCUUUUGCAAAAGCGACAGUAAGGGUGGAAAGGUGAGGUAAGAGCUUACCGGGUUCCCGGCGACGGGAACUGUCUCUGUAAACCCCAUCCGGAGCAACACCGUGGUGAGACUUAAGCUUGGACCCGAGCGUCUCUAGGAGGUGGCUUGAGCCGGGGUGAAAAUCCCGGCCUAGAUAAAUGAUCGUCCCAGACAGAACCCGGCUUAUCGGUUUUCUCCGCCU
rnacentral:RNase_P_RNA from 1 species